rnacentral:rRNA from 1 species
UACGUAGGGGGCAAGCGUUGUCCGGAUUCAUUGGGCGUAAAGAGCGUGUAGGCGGCCAGGUAGGUCGGUUGUGAAAACUGGAGGCUCAACCUUCAGAGGUCGACCGAAACCAUCUGGCUAGAGUCCGGGAGAGGAGAGUGGAAUUCCUGGUGUAGCGGUGAAAUGCGCAGAUAUCAGGAGGAACACCGGUGGCGAAGGCGGAUCUCUGGGCCAUUACUGACGCUGAGGAGCGAAAGCGUGGGGAGCGAACAGG